UGGAUUGUGGCUUAGUGGUAGAGUACACACCUUGCAUGUGUGAGGCACUGGAUUUGAUCCUCAGCACUACAU
rnacentral:tRNA from 1 species